UUGCUGAUAGGAGGUUAAAAACUUCCUGUGCAGGCUUUCCGCGUCUGUCUGUGCGCACUCACAUGAAAAUCACAGCCGGCGAGAGCAGCGGACUCCUGGCUUCAUCGUUUUCAGACCCCCGCUCUUUCGCUACUCAGGUUAAACAUGAUAUAUAAGUCACUCGGAUAACUUAAAAAUGUAAUUGUUUGGCUUUUUUCUGUGUUUUUAUUUGUUCCUAAGUAAUCACUCGUUUUCUUUUCCUUUCUCUCUGUGCAUAACCUACUGUUGAGACGUCAGAGAUCAGCUGAAGAAGCAUAUGAACACGAAUGUCGUAAACAACACUAGAGAUAGCAAGGAGCAGACGGCCGAGUUUAUUAAACUCCACCGACACAGCGGUGACGCAUAUCGGAAGGCUAGACCGUCCAAUUUCACAGCCUCGCACUUCCCUUCUUCGAAGGACUCGGCUCACGUAGACUGAGGCUGGGUCCUCCAAAGGAUGCAGCCGACGUUUUGGGACACAGCUAUUAAGACGCUACAACACAGAGUGAACACCAUCCCCACUGACACAGCGGCCAGGGAUGCAGAAGAACAUCACAUCAAGAAGGCCCUGAGCAAAUGUGGUUAUCCCAGCUGGACUUUUGUCAAAGCUGGGAAGGCACCUAAAGAAAGCUCCAGCCGAUCCAGGAGAGAAGGACAACCGCUGCCCAAGCGAAAACCUGUAGUGAUCCCAUAUGUGUCAGGAGUAUCGGAACAGUUGAGACACAUUUUUUCUAAACACCGGGUCUCUGUGGCUUUUAAACCCCAAAACACGCUGCGCCAAAAACUGGUCCACCCCAAGGAUCGGGUCCCCCAACACAAACAGAGUAACAUAGUGUACGCUGUUAAGUGCCAGGAGGAUUGCCAGGAUUUAUACAUCGGGGAAACCAAACAUCCUCUGGCGAAGCGGAUGGCACAACACAGAAGAGCAACCUCAUCAGGCCAGGACUCUGCAGUCUAUUUACACCUACAGGCCAGUGGACACUCUUUCAAGGAUGAGGAUGUACACAUCCUGGACAGGGAGGGACGCUGGUUUGAGCGCGGAGUCAAGGAGGCCAUUUACGUGAAAAGGGAAAGACCAUCUCUGAAUCGAGGAGGGGGCCUAAGGGUACAUCUUUCGCCAUCUUACAAUGCUGUGAUUGCAGCCAUUCCCCAACUCUCUGUGAAUGGUACUCAUGGCCAUUGAUCAGUGUUCUUUGAUCAGUGGGUUUUGGUCAGUGAUUGUUGAUCAAUGGUCAUUGGAAUUUGCAUAAUUAUGAUUAAGGAACUGACCUCACAGCCCAUUGUUCCUUCAGUGGGCUGGUUUCAGUCAUUAUGCAAAUGUACUGUUUAUAAGGUUUGGGGAAACCUGCAGUCAGCUGAGACUGAAGAAGUCACUUGGAUGAGUGACGAAACGUUUCUCCCACAAAACGCUACGUCCAGAUGAACAGAUUCAACUUUUGGAGAUUUACUUUCCUGGAUGAUUGAGAAUGCAUCAAGACGUUUCAAAAGCUGCUGCUAGUCCCCUCUCCACCCUCCGCUCACAGAUGGCUGCUGUAAGAUUGCUCCUGUUUUUGCCUCUAGCAUCUAUUUCUGCAGCGCUACAGCUGGGUUUGCAGGCGAAGCUUGGAGAUGACGUCACUCUCCAUUGUCAGAUUACCACAGAUGAAAGGAUCUCAGUGCUGAAGUGGAGCAGAGCUGACCUGAACACAGACGGCUACGUCUACUUCUACAGGAACAAACGCUCCUAUGAAAACUACCAACAUUCAUCUUUUCAUGGCCGAGUGAAGCUGAGGGACCCGGAGAUGAAGGAUGGAGACGUUUCUCUGAUCCUGAAGAACGUCACGUUUAAUGACACUGGGAUGUAUGAGUGUCACGUAGCAGUGAGGAACCCUGGGAGAAGUAAAAGAGUUCACACUAAGAUCAGUCACUUCAUCAACCUCACAGUCACAGGUGAAACGCAUGAAAAUAUGCAUGAGAGACACAUCGUGGAAAGAGAAGAUGGAAGUGGAAACAUGUAUGACAUGCAACAGGCUGGAAAUCCGCCUGUCCUUAUGUUUGCUGGAGUUACUGCCAUCAUCAUCGUCAUCAUUGUUGUUCCUGCAUUUCUUUUGUUUGUGCUGCUCCUUAAAAUCAUAAGAAACAAAAAACUAGCUGUGCCUCCUAAUCAGGAAGCUACUGGUCUGAAAUGUUAAAGUUUCUUUUUUUUAAAGAAACUUCAAACGCUGAUAUUUACAUUCUUGCAAUAUCAAUUCCUUUUAGUACAUUUAUCAAGUAAUCAAAACUAAAAGAACCUCGCUGUUUCGGUUGAGCAAUUUGACAGUAUUUAGAGGGGGAAAAAAAUAGAAAAAGAAAAAAGCACUCAAGUUGUCUGCAGAGAAGACAAACACAACUUUGCCAGUUGUCUAGAUAACAUUAACCUUAAAAAAAAAAUCAAAAAAAAAAAAAUCCAGUUUUAAAUUUAAAACUGGAUUUUUUUAAAUGCUAAAAAUAGGUUUAGACAAAGUAAAGGAAAUGACUGAUUCUGGGUCAGAAGUCAUCACCAACGAUGAUCCAGACCUCAGGAUUAAAAAGGAACAGUUUUAAUGAUAAAAUGAUUACUGAAGAUGUGCCGCUGGCCUUGAAGCUGAAAAGAGUUAAACUCAGGAUACAUUUCAAGUUGCUGAGUUAAAUAGCAAAGAUUUUUUAUUAAUUAAAAAAACUGAGCUUUUAAAAAUGUGUAGUUUGAGUUUCUCCUUUUCCUCUUUAACUUCAUUUCCCACAGUGAGCAUCUGAGCUUCAGCCCUUUGCACUGUUUCCCCGCCUUCUUUGAACUUUCUGUUUCUGUUCUCGCACACGCUCUGCGUAAAUAAUUUGAUUGGGUGAGCAGCAUCGUGUGGGAUAACCUAUAAUGCACGCGAGUGAUCUGUGCCAUCUUCGGCCAGAUUAAAAUAUAUGGGAAUAAGAACUGUAUGUAUGAGAAAAGGUCCGCAGAGUGAUCGGUAAUAGAUCUGGGUGCAGAUCCAGUCCGUGGUUUGCAUAUUGGUGAUGUGGCAUUAGAUUGAAAAAAAAUACUCAGUGGCUAAACAUGAAUUCAAACCUCCACACAGGUUUAUGUUAAAGGUAAAAACAGAUUUGUUUGAAGGUUGAUGUGGGAUUAAAGGAGUUGUAUCAGCUCUGCAAGCAGAAAACUGAACAGAACCUUAGUCUCAACGUCCUCAUAUUAAUACAGGAAGUUACUGAACACAUGAGACAGAAGCAACAUGUUUUCAUUAUGCUCACCUCAAACAAGCCAACUGAUGAUGCUCAGGUAACAGCAGUGGACGGAAAAAGGCUGGAAUUUGUAUUUUUGGUGCUAUUUUUCUUGGAAUUGUGUGAAUUUUCUUAAUUUAAAUGUAUUAUUUAAUUAAUAAAUUUUUUCCUGUCCUUUCCGAAAGUGUAGCAUUCAGGAUUGCUGAAGGCUAAAAAUGCCCAAUGGUUUACAUUCCCAAGUGGACCAUUAUGGCAUUUGCUACAAUGGUCCACUUGAUAGUUAUAAUUUAUUAAAACUUUAUUAGGAUUUUUUUUUUAUUUUGAGUUAUUACAACCACAGCAGACAAGAACAGGGGACAGAAAAGAAAAAGAGAGAGCGAAAACCUUGAAAAUCUUCCUCAACACCUGAAAUGAAAACAUACAAAGAAAAUAAAGUUUUAAUUUCAGUGGCAGAUCUCACACACGCUGCUCACUGCUGUAAAACUGAAAAUGAGGUUUAGUGAUUAGAAAACUAAAAAGCUGGAGCCAUAAGGUUCUUUCCACAUUAAGAAACUGUGAUUAUGAAAGUUUCAUGCUGACUUGAGAAUUGCUACAACUGACAAACAAAGAAUAUCUUUACACAACACAGUAACCGACCUCUGACUAUAUAAAGAUCAUUUAGAGACAUUUCGCUUUUGUAUUGAAACCACAAAAUAUUAAUUAACAUUAAUUAACAAAAUAAAAAUUCUUUGAUUUGUAUUUAAUUUUGUGUUUCAUUUUAAAAUGUCAUUUUACUGAAAGUUCAUGAACUUCAUGAGCUCUGAAUCCACUCUGUGUCAGCUGCUUUAUGUUCACGCUGAGGUGACCUGUAAUGAUACAUACUCUGCACGAUUAAACUUUCUCCUGCACUCUCUCUGUUUAUCUGCAGUAACAGAAACAGAACAAAUCAUCUUUUUUUCCUCUUCCUCAGUUAAAAAAAAGACGUCUAGAUAGUGUGUGACAGAUUUUAUGUUGAUGAUGUUUGAAUAUUUGUGUCUUCGAUGAUGAUCCUAGUUGUCACUCAAGCUGCUCUGCUGCCACCUGGAGGCUUGAAAGUGUUAAAGCAUCAAUCUACAGCUCAGUGAAUGUGACAUCAGAAUAACCAGCACAGCCAAAGAAUCCUGAAUAAACUGAAGUGUUUGCAGUACAGCUGCAGUGCUGAUGGGUCGCACUUCACUUCCGCUCAAAGUGAGAGUCCAGAUUCAAGUUUGAACAAAACUUGCAAAGAAAAAGUUAAA
ensembl:lncRNA